CGGACAGUGCCUGGUGGGUAGUUUGACUGGGGCGGUCUCCUCCCAAAGAGUAACGGAGGAGCACGAAGGUGGGCUAAUCACGGUUGGACAUCGUGCGGCUAGUGCAAUGGCAUAAGCCCGCUUGACUGCGAGAAUGACAAUUCGAGCAGGUGCGAAAGCAGGUCAUAGUGAUCCGGUGGUUCUGAAUGGAAGGGCCAUCGCUCCACGGAUAAAAGGUACUCCG
rnacentral:rRNA from 1 species